GUAGGGAAUCUUCCACAAUGGACGAAAGUCUGAUGGAGCAACGCCGCGUGAGUGAAGAAGGUCUUCGGAUCGUAAAACUCUGUUGUUAGAGAAGAACGUGCGUGAUAGUAACUGAUCAUGUAAUGACGGUAUCUAACCAGAAAGCCACGGCUAACUACGUGCCAGCAGCCGCGGUAAUACGUAGGUGGCAAGCGUUGUCCGGAUUUAUUGGGCGUAAAGGGAACGCAGGCGGUUUUUUAAGUCUGAUGUGAAAGCCUUCGGCUUAACCGAAGAAGAGCAUUGGAAACUGGAAGACUUGAGUGCAGAAGAGGAGAGUGGAAUUCCAUGUGUAGCGGUGAAAUGCGUAGAUAUAUGGAGGAACACCAGUGGCGAAAGCGGCUCUCUGGUCUGUAACUGACGCUGAGGUUCGAAAGCGUGGGUAGCAAACAGGAUUAGAAACCCUAGUAGUCC
rnacentral:rRNA from 1 species